AAUCUUUUUUUUUGCCCGCUCAUGGCUAUAUUGGGUAUGCCGGAUUCGUCCGGCUAUGGUGAUAAACGCGGUCGGAAUAAGCCUUUCGGACCCGGGGGCGGUACCCGGCGCCUCCACCACAAACCGCAGCUCUGGCCAGAUCUUGGUCCUGGCAGCGGUUUGUGGCGGGGGCGAAAUAGGUUCGACGAGGGGUAUAAAGGGCUUGCUUUUGCUCGGCAUGGUUCCGCCGUUAUCGGGCCAUCCAGAAUAGUUGCCAAUGACAACUAUGCUGAGGUUGCUCUCGCUGCGUAAUGCGGCGCGAUCGACCUGAACUCAAGUCCUUGCUCCUAGCCGGGUAAGGCGCGGUUCGGAGGGCACCGGGCAACAGAAGCCCUCCACU
rnacentral:tmRNA from 1 species